AGGUGGGGCAAAGCCUCAACAUUUGUUUUCACUGGGUGUGGCACCGCACUAGAACCGAAGCAUGGAAAGAAAUAGCCAGUACUCUUGGCUUGGAUCCAGAUUCAGUGGGAAUACCAGAGCACUUGCGUAUGAUUCUAAAAACAGCGUGGGUGGGUGAGCAACGAGUGAGUGUACAGCGCAGGAACAGCUCCACAAUGAACAUGUGUAGUGAUCACCUGUUUCGGUCUCUCAGUGCUAUCAUGCCGCUACGUGGGCUUUGCCGUGGUGGCCCUGUUGGUGGAGAUAAACUCGGUGUUCCUUCACCUCAGGCAGAUCCUGCGCAUGGCCAGCCUCGCCGUGGGCACUCUGUACCGGGUCAACAGCAUAAUCAACCUGGGCACAUACGUGGUGUUUCGCAUCAACACGUUGGCCUGGAUGACCCGCUGGCUGGUUCUCAACAGAGACAAGGUGCCCCUCCUGGCCUAUACGCUGGGCAGCGUGGGUUUGGCCAUCAUGACGGCAAUGAAUAUUGUCCUGUUUUAUCGGCUGCUCAGGAGCGACUUCCUGAAGAGCAGCACCCGGGAGGGCAAGAAAGAGAAAGAGAUGUAGGGAGGAGAGGAGGAUUAUAGUCAUCAAUACACUCAUUACUGUAUGUUUCCACCCUGUGGCCAAGAUUUGGUACCUGUGAUUUUUUUUUCGUCUUUGUUUUUUUUUUUGUGUGUGUAAUAUACUCAAAGCUGAGAGAUGGAGGGAUCGCUCUGUCGUUCUCAUACUGUUUAAUCACACACACACACACAAACACACAUGGUGUAAUCAGUUGGACUCGCUCAAAGCAUCAAAGAAUCACACAGUCAUAAUGCAGACAGCUACAGCAGACAGCAGACAGCUUCAGUUGUAAUUUUGACUUUUGGCUUCUGUGCACGUGUUGUCCAGUUUGAGUGUCAUCAGUGACUCAUUAAUGCUAUGAGGAAGAUGAUUUAUAUGAAAAUUGCAAGGCCUUGUAAAAUGACACCAAACACCUCAUAGUCCUACAGAGUGUGUCAGCUAAACCUUAAAAUGUAGCUUAAGAUAAGUGACGACUGUUCGUAAAACACCUUACAUCCUUCCAUAGGAAACAAAUACAAAUACAAAAGUAUACUGUUAUAUCAUAAAAAUAUAUAUUUCAAUCAUAUAUAUUCUACGCAGUUGUGGGUUAUUUAAAGUCUAUCAUGUAAUAUCAAAAUAUAUCCAUUACCACUGACGAAAGAAGUAGUGAAAUAUAAAUCCUCUUGUUUGAAACUAGCACUGCAGAGGUGAAGAUGUCUUUAUUUUUCCCAACAAAUCUCCUCAACUAAAAACCACCUGCUACCUCAGAAAGCUUCUUUGCAUAUUUCAAGCACAAGCUUUGCUACCAGUGUUUUGGCAGGUUUUCUUUAUCAUAGAAGAAAAAAUAUAAGAAAAAAGAGUGAAAGAAAAACAUGAGAAAAAACAAUUGAGUUUGUACUAUAAAAGCAAUCCACAGAAAAUAUGUUAAUAGGGUGAUAAAUUACUAUAAUUUAAAUUAAUUUAAGGAAAAAUCUGGUUAGAUUUUCAAUUUUGAGCUUUUCAGUGUGUGGCUGAUAUAAAUUUGGAUGUAAUUGUUUUAAUAUAUGAUGUAAUAUAAUCUGCAGUAGUAGCUUCAGACAGGCUGGAGUUGUUGUUCUUCAUUUGGCCUUUGGAGGACAGCACACUCCUUCUCAUCACCUCAGUGACCUCAGCACCGCCAAGACACCAGAGAUGUUUUGAUUUUUUAAAACAUUUUUGUAGGUCUUUGCCAUCCUGCCUUUAAUUUAGGGUCACUAAAUUGCACAGAUAGACACAUAAUUUCUGAGGUCAUCUGAGAUCUGUGAAUACUGCAAGCUUUUAUACACACGGUGGCUAUGAGGCGGCCUGACAUCAGAGCAUUGUAGUCCUUAUGUGGCAUGAAUGCCAAUUUUGGUUUUUGUGUUGACAUUUGUGUAUAUUCAUUGUUUUGGGGGGGGGGCGAUUUGUAUAUUUGUAAUUUAUUUGUAUUAAUAUGUUGUGGAUUAAAAAUGAAAUUGUGAAAAACAGUUGAUUACAGUGAAGCUGAUGAUGGUGUAAGUAAUGUUGUUGUGGGGUGUUGUGCCACUAUGGGUCUUACCUUUUUUUUUUGUGUAUUUGUUUGCCCAGUUAAUAUUUUCAGUACCCAGUCUCCAAAGGCACACCCACAGUCAUCUCAGCUUGACACUGCAAAUGUUGAAACUCUAAAAUCAGGCUGAUGACCAUAUUACAAACACAGCAGCAUGUUAGGUAUGUAAAUAGACACCAAAAUACUUGCAAUCGCAGUUCAAAGGAAACGUCAGACCCACAUACGACAGUCAGUAAUCAGCUUAAAUGCAGCUGAAUAAGUGGCACAAGCACAGUCCACAAAUUUAACCUCCUCGUCCACGUUAAAAUGAAGACAUCACUGCACUUAAGACACAGCACUGUUUUAGAUGGAAAGCAGUGGUGGUUGAUUUUUGUCAUGGCUGAUUCCCAGUUGCCUUUUAGAGAUCAAGAGAAACUCCUUUUUUGAGAUUUUUUUUAUUGUGAAUGUAAAUUUGCAUACUUCAAUUCUGUCAGCAAAUGUUUAGGGCAGCUUAACUUUGUUGUUGUAGUGAAGACAACUGGUAAUAAUUGAAGUUAUUUCUAACAAGCAAGCUUAUACGUGUGAAUGUGUUGUAUAAGGUUGUAAUGUCAUUGAGAUUAUACAUGUGUGAUACCAGCUUUGUUAUGUUGCUGUGUUCUUUUGGGACUCGUGAUGAAGCACGGCAGCCGAGAAGAAAUGCCUCUUCAUAUCAAUGUCGGCACCACACAGCACACAGACGGACUUAUGCCCCCCCCCCCCCAAAAAAAAAGUAAAAGCCGCAGCGCAGCUCUCUGCACUCCACGUCCUGCUCUUUUUGUUUCUCUUAUGUGCAUUUAUUUUCUGCCUACAUGGAUUUAAGAACAAGCCACAAAGAUUAUGGUAUGUUUUUACAUUUGUGGGGAGUGUACACGUGAACAAUGAUUUCAGGAUGUAAUUGCAGAAACGGUCAACUCAACUAUAGAUUUAUAUUGCCAUGCUGCCUCAAAUUCUUAAUCGUACACCAUAGACCAUUUUCAGAGAUUAACAACAUACAAUUAAGUCCCUCUGCUAUGUUUGUUCAUUUAUAAAGUUCUGUUUUCAGUCUGGUGAUUGGUGAAAUAUUGUCUAUUGUUAAUAAAUAAACAUUUUUAAAAAGAAAUUCAUCACAACAGAGAAGACUUUGACACUGUGCAGUUUGUCCAGGCCUUAAUUUAGGGGACAAAAACCUGGUAAACUGAAGCAAAUGAGACCAACUGAGGGUCUGAGAGUAAAAUCGUCUGGUUACUCUGAUCCUCAAAGUGUCACAUUUCACAGACGUUUCUCUCGUGUGUAAAUAUAACUUUUUAUUUUUUCAUGUUUUGUCAGAGAUUGUUUUGUAAUUAAAAUUUCGAUUUAUAUGUUUAUAAAAUAACCUCAUUGGUUUAACGUGAAAAUAAAGAUCGCUGAACUAGG